UACGUAGGUGGCAAGCGUUGUCCGGAUUUACUGGGCGUAAAGCGUGCGCAGGCGGUUGUGUAAGUCUGGCGGGAAAUCCCCGGGCUCAACCUGGGAAUUGCGAUGGAGACUGCACGGCUAGAGUGUGUCAGAGGGGGGUAGAAUUCCACGUGUAGCAGUGAAAUGCGUAGAUAUGUGGAGGAACACCGAUGGCGAAGGCAGCCCCCUGGGAUAACACUGACGCUCAUGCACGAAAGCGUGGGGAGCAAACAGG
rnacentral:rRNA from 1 species